rnacentral:tRNA from 1 species
AAUAAGAUGCCUGAUAAAAGGAUUAUUUUGAUAGAAUAAAUUAUGUAGGAAUCUACUCUUAUUA